rnacentral:lncRNA from 1 species
UUGUGCAGUGGUAUUUGGCAUUGGCUAUCUCCACCUGAGGUUUGGCAGGCCGGUGGUGUGAUCAGGGCUGGAGGUAAUAGCGUCACUGGAACUGUGCAACUGGAAAAAAAAAAAAAACAAACAGCAAAAACCAACAGCCCCCUCUGAGAAGCCUAAGAUCCCUAAGAGGAAUUCUGCAAGACGAUUUCAGGAAUGGGUGAAAUUAGAUUAGCACCACUUCACGUCAGAUGAAGCAUUUAUUUUGGUAAAGUUGUAUCAGUUCCUUCUAAUACAGGAUUAUGGUUCAUGGCUUGAAAGGCUCAAGGAGAAAGCUCAAGCCCAUUACCAACAGUGGUGAGGGAGGUAAAAUGCAAAGCGUCUGAUCCCAGAGAUCUUAUAAUCUUUAAUGAGACCCACAGGGAUGUGAAGCAACAGAUGGAACAAGUGCCUGAUAACAGAGAAGACACGAAGAGCAGGAGAAGCAGAAAAAUUGAAAGUCAUAGUAAUCUACAGGAAUGUGAAGGUCAAUGUCUAAUGACAUCUUUCGAAAAGACAUUUAAAACUGCCAAAUACAAAAUGAGUGAAAGUUAAAAAAAAAAAAAGGGCAGAAAAACACUCACUGUAUUGAAAAUCGGCCUGCCAGCUGCACUGCCCGCAUAUUUCAUGGCUGCUGAAUGCCACCAGAAAGCUCUCAGCCAUGACUAACAGUGCAGUAGUAAGAACAAGAUUAAUUGCACAAUUUAUUUUUAGAUUUCUUUCUUUUUUUUUUUUUUUUUUUUUUUUUAUUUGCUAAGUAUUCAAAUAUGUAAAGUUGAAGUGACACAUUUCCUGCAAAACUGUUUCAUUUACUUUCUAUUCACAUGCUCAGAAUGGUCUCAGGGAAAAGUACAACUUUUUACCCUUCAGGGAGGUCAAGAACAUACCAAAAAAAUUAUUAAAGAAAAUGAAGUAAAUGUUGAGAAGAGACAGAGACCUACAGGCUAUGUCCCAGGGAAACAAAAAGAAGCGGGAGAUAGUGAGAAUUGAAAGUGUCCUGCAAAGAAGGAAAAUGAACAUGAAGCAGUCAGGUGAGUCACUAGGAAUCACCUUUUGGGCAGAAAGAAGGAAUGAAGUCAGUUCUGAUCUCAACAGACAGACUGAGACAGAAAACAGUGAUCUCUUCCCUCUUGGCAUUCUGUAUCUGAAAUCCUGGCAACAGGACCCACCACUAUGUACUGGCAGAGAAUUCUGCCUAUAGAAAACUCCAGAGGGAAAAAUAGUUAAAC